rnacentral:rRNA from 1 species
UUUAAACUAGGGAUUAGAUACCCUAUUAUUAAAAUGUAAUUAUUUUAUCUAAAUUAGUGCUAGGGGAGAAAAUUAGGAGAGAUUUUAAAUUCUUGAAAAUUAAGAAGAAUGGCGGUAUUUUAGUCUUUUCAGAGGAACCUGUCCUGUAAUUGAUAGUCCACGAUUUUUAUUACUUUUUUUUUUAGUUUAUAUAUCGCUGUGGUUGAAUAUUUUUUUUGAAGAGUCAAAUAUUCAGAGUUUUUAAAAAAAGAAAUUCAGGUCAAGAUGUAGUUUAUAAAAAAGAAGAGAUGGGUUACAAUAAUUUAAAUUUUGGAAAAAUUUUUUAAAAUAGUUUUAAAAUUGGAUUUGAGAGUAAUUAUGUAAAUUCAUAUAAAAUGAUUUUAGCUCUAAAAUGUGUACAUAUCGCCCGUCGCUUUCAUUUUAAAAUGAAAUAAGUCGAAACAUAGUAAA